GCAAACUAAAAUAACGUGAACAGAAGCACAAUGUGCAAACUAAAAUAAAGGAAAAGUGAACAGAACCACAAUGUGCAAACUAAAAUAAAGGAAUAUGAACAGAAACACAAUGUGCAAACUAAAAUAAAGGAAUAGUGAACAGAAA